UACGUAGGGGGCAAGCGUUGUUCGGAUUUACUGGGCGUAAAGCGCACGCAGGCGGAUCGAUAAGUCGGGGGUGAAAGCCCGGGGCUCAACCUCGGAAUUGCCUUCGAUACUGUCGGUCUCGAGUCCGGGAGAGGUGAGUGGAAUUCCUAGUGUAGAGGUGAAAUUCGUAGAUAUUAGGAAGAACACCAGUGGCGAAGGCGGCUCACUGGCCCGGUACUGACGCUCAGGUGCGAAAGCGUGGGGAGCAAACAGG
rnacentral:rRNA from 1 species